CAGCAACAGCUCAGAUGUCCCUCAUAUCAACUACUGUGUUUGCACAAACCCCACCAAUAACCCAACAUCCCACCACAGUUAAUUCUUCUGCUGUACAAACUGCACAAACAACUCGAGGAUUUGCCACAGCAAAACCUUCAUUGACACAGAAUCCGCCAGCAACACAAAGGCCCACCAUUUCACACUUCUCAAUGACCAAGGGUCUCCAUACUGUUACACAAAUAUUUACUUCUGCUCAUAUUACAGCAACACAGCAUGUACCUGUUUCCAAGACAACGGUACGUCAUCCAACGAGAACAUCUAAAGACAGAGGAGAGUCUAAUUCAGGUGGUGACCAUUUUAUAUAUGGUAAGUUUGACCCACAGGGAGUUAAAAGAAAUUGCCAUCACUGUGGGAGACAUAGUCCAUAUUUCUGGAAGAGAAUCUUCUCUUAUAACUGCCUGAGAAAAACUAUCAAAAUGCAGUGCCUAUGGGUGCCUAAGGGCAGAUGGGUAAAGCCUUUUAAUCGGCUGGUUUUUUGGACACCGUUAGGCAUCCAGCAUGGUCCUUCAUAUCCCCAACAGUGCUCCUGCUCUAAGGCAGUCUUAGGACAGCUUCGGGUCAUCUGGCCAAUCAGUCAGGUAGCACUGAGUGCCCGCUGUGUCAGUGUGUCAUUUUAGUGACAGAAGAAACCCAGGAACAACAGUCAAUACAGUUCUUAUCCA
rnacentral:lncRNA from 1 species